UUAUGGCCAUAUCACUUUGAAACACAGAUUCUCAUCUGAUCACUGAAGUUAAGUAAUGUUGAACCUGAUCAGUACCUAGAUGGGUAACUGCUCGGUGAAUACCAGGUGCU